rfam:Gossypium arboreum cultivar AKA8401 contig_31170_1, whole genome shotgun sequence.
UGUUAAAAAUUUAAUCUAUUUAUAUUGUUACAAACUGGUGUGGCCGAUGAAAUAAUCAGGUAGUUAGUUACAUGUGAUGUGCCACAUGUAUCUUAUGCUGACACACAUGAAUCAGUUUUUAACAAUAAAAAUAGAUGAAUUUUAACA